rnacentral:rRNA from 1 species
GACGAACGCUGGCGGCGUGCUUAACACAUGCAAGUCGAACGGAAAGGCCCUGCUUUUGUGGGGUGCUCGAGUGGCGAACGGGUGAGUAACACGUGAGUAACCUGCCCUUGACUUUGGGAUAACUUCAGGAAACUGGGGCUAAUACCGGAUAGGAGCUCCUGCUGCAUGGUGGGGGUUGGAAAGUUUCGGCGGUUGGGGAUGGACUCGCGGCUUAUCAGCUUGUUGGUGGGGUAGUGGCUUACCAAGGCUUUGACGGGUAGCCGGCCUGAGAGGGUGACCGGCCACAUUGGGACUGAGAUACGGCCCAGACUCCUACGGGAGGCAGCAGUGGGGAAUAUUGCACAAUGGGCGGAAGCCUGAUGCAGCAACGCCGCGUGCGGGAUGACGGCCUUCGGGUUGUAAACCGAUUUCGCCUGUGACGAAGCGUGAGUGACGGUAAUGGGUAAAGAAGCACCAGCUAACUACGUG